ensembl:snRNA U6 U6 spliceosomal RNA
GUGCUUGCUUUGCAGUGCAUAUACUAAAAUUGGAACAAUACUUAGCAAGGCCCCUGCACAAGGAUGACACACAAAUUCAUGAAGUGUUCCAUAUUUGU